AGAGAGUGAACUUACCCGAGGUUUUGAUUUGCAGUCCCUCCGCUUUUCUCUUCCUCCUCUUUUGUCCUUCUCUCCUUGUCCUCCCCCUGUCUUGUCCCGGCUGUGUCACCGUCUUAAUGUCUAAACCUAAAGGCGUGCGUCGUCCACAUCUGCAAACGGAGGGAGAUGCAGAGGGGAGGGGAGCGAGGUGAAGUGGAAGAAGACAGAAAAAACAGAAAGAGAGAGAGAGAGAGGCAGAGAAGGAGAGAGAGAAGGACACUCCACCACAGGCAAAUCCAGCUUUCUGAACAUCCGCACAGGAAUCGUAUCCACAGAUGGAAGCUCAAACUAUCUAGGCCACUGGGCUACGAUCAGCGAGAGGGAGGGCCGCUGGGAGAGGAGGAGAGCCAGCCUUCCUGUGCGUUCAUAUUUUUUUUGUGUCUGGGCGUGUGACUGAGCUGAUGAGGUUCCUCAUCACACAAAUCCUCGUCUCUUCCACCGAGAAUAUAAACCCAGCUGCUGACAUCUGGAUUACAAGCCACCAAAACCACAUGCAGCAUGUUAACAACAGACCCCGGUGACAUAACAGUCUGGGAUAUGCUUUUGUUUAAUUCCCCAAAUUCCAUCAGUUAUUGUCUGUAAUCUACACUAAAGGGGCAAUAUGUGUGCAAGAUGACCCUGUGUUUAAUGUGAUUACAGCUGAUUUGUUGAACAUGAAAGCUUAAGUGUGGACUUGUACUCAUACCUCAUACUGCAGUCGUUGUCCUCUCCUAACAAGGAAAAGAGAAAACACCAACGUUUGAAACUGUUAAGGUUAACUGUGGUUGCUGAGGUUUUUCUGAUGGAUUAUAUUUUCUCGCCCUCACAGCCCAGCUGAGGACUGUGCAUAUUGAGAUUAAGGCCGGUAGAUAAGCUGAUCACAGUUGGGGCUAAGCAGGGGAAGCCAUUCAUCAUAAAAACAAACAGUUUCCCAUGAAAAUGUAAUAAAGGAGAUAUUUAUCCCAUGA